UACGUAGGCAGCAAGCGUUGUUCGGAAUUACUGGGCGUAAAGAGUGUGUAGGCGGUGCUCUAAGUUCGGUGUGAAAUCUCCCGGCUCAACUGGGAGGGUGCGCCGGAAACUGGAGUGCUUGAGCGUGGGAGAGGAAAGCGGAAUUCCUGGUGUAGCGGUGAAAUGCGUAGAUAUCAGGAGGAACACCUGUGGUGUAGACGGCUUUCUGGACCAUAGCUGACGCUGAGACACGAAAGCGUGGGUAGCAAACAGG
rnacentral:rRNA from 1 species